UCCCAAAAUUCUUGUCUUAGAUUUGUAUAGAUAUGAAUGUAUCUAGUCAUAUUUUAGUAUUUUGAUAUAUUCAUUUUUUUUAAAAUCUAAGACAAGAAUUUUGGGAUGGAGGGAUUACCAU
rnacentral:pre_miRNA from 1 species